rfam:Ailuropoda melanoleuca scaffold2383_2, whole genome shotgun sequence.
GCCUGGGUGGCUCAGCGGUUAAAGCAUCUGCCUUCGGCUCAGGGCGUGAUCCCAGCGUUGUGGGAUCGAGCCCCACGUCAGGCU